rnacentral:rRNA from 1 species
AUUGAACGCUGGCGGCAGGCCUAACACAUGCAAGUCGAGCGGAUGAACGGAGCUUGCUUCUGGAUGCAGGGGCGGACGGGGGACGGGUGCCUAACAAGCUGGUAAGCUGUGGGGUUUUACGGGAUAACAGGGGGACAAUUACGGUAUAACGGCUUAGGGAGGAAGUGUGGGAUCAUGGGACCUGGCGCGAUAAGGUGAGGGUAGGUCGUGUUAUCUAGUUGGUGGGGUAAGGGCCUACCAAGGCGACGAUCCGUAGCUGGUCUGAGAGGAUGAUCAGCCACACUGGAACUGAGACACGGUCCAGACUCCUACGGGAGGCAGCAGUGGGGAAUAUUGGAGAAUGGGCGAAAGCCUGAUCCAGCCAUGCCGCGUGGGUGAAGAAGGUCUUCGGAUUGUAAAGCACUUUUGUUGGGAAGGAAGAGCAGCAGGUUAAUACCUUGCUGUUUUGACGUUACCUACAGAAUAAGCACCGGCUAACUUCGUG